GUGUCUCACGGCAAGCGACUGCCUGAAGAGGAAACAUAAUGCAAAAGAAUAUGCACUGUGAAAAGUCUGCACUGUGAAGUGCAGAAAUAUAUCAUUCUACCAAGACCAAGGCCAGAAAGUACAGAAGGCAGAGGGGCCAGCACGACCUACUGUGGGAAUAUGCAACACUCGGACAUAAUGCUCUACUUUGCUGUAUCUCGUUAAGCAUCCACCAGAUGACCAUCAAGUAACUCAUCCAGAAAUAACUUACGAAACAGCCUUCUAGAGGAGAAGAAGUCUGCAAUAAUGACAGCCCACUGACAGUGCAAUAAAGAGGAAUUCAUUAUUCAGGCUGCAGGGGUUGACAAUGGCCAGAGGGCAAAU